UGGGGAAUUUUGGACAAUGGGCGAAAGCCUGAUCCAGCAAUGCCGCGUGUGUGAAGAAGGCCUUCGGGUUGUAAAGCACUUUUGUCCGGAAAGAAAUCCUUGGCUCUAAUACAGUCGGGGGAUGACGGUACCGGAAGAAUAAGCACCGGCUAACUACGUGCCAGCAGCCGCGGUAAUACGUAGGGUGCAAGCGUUAAUCGGAAUUACUGGGCGUAAAGCGUGCGCAGGCGGUUUGCUAAGACCGAUGUGAAAUCCCCGGGCUCAACCUGGGAACUGCAUUGGUGACUGGCAGGCUAGAGUAUGGCAGAGGGGGGUAGAAUUCCACGUGUAGCAGUGAAAUGCGUAGAGAUGUGGAGGAAUACCGAUGGCGAAGGCAGCCCCCUGGGCCAAUACUGACGCUCAUGCACGAAAGCGUGGGGAGCAAACAGGAUUNAUACCCUGGUAGUCCACGCCCUAAACGAUGUCAACUAGUUGUUGGGGAUUCAUUUCCUUAGUAACGUAGCUAACGCGUGAAGUUGACCGCCUGGGGAGUACGGUCGCAAGAUUAAAACUCAAAUGAAUUGACGGGGUC
rnacentral:rRNA from 1 species